UGAGGAAUAUUGGUCAAUGGGCGAAAGCCUGAACCAGCCAUGCCGCGUGAAGGAAUAAGGCCCUAUGGGUCGUAAACUUCUUUUGACGGGGAGCAAUAAGGUCUACGUGUAGGCCGAUGAGAGUACUCGUCGAAUAAGCAUCGGCUAACUCCGUGCCAGCAGCCGCGGUAAUACGGAGGAUGCGAGCGUUAUCCGGAAUUAUUGGGUUUAAAGGGUGCGUAGGCUGUUUGUUAAGUCAGGGGUGAAAUACCGCAGCUCAACUGUGGAAUUGCCUUUGAUACUAGCAGGCUUGAAUACUGUUGCCGUGGGAGGAAUGAGUAGUGUAGCGGUGAAAUGCAUAGAUAUUACUCAGAACACCGAUUGCGAAGGCAUCUCACGAAGCAGGCAUUGACGCUGAGGCACGAAAGCGUGGGGAUCAAACAGGA
rnacentral:rRNA from 1 species